GGAAAGCCUUAAAAUGCUGAAUUGAAAGUAAUGUAGGCAAAAGCUUUCUUGUGGUACUUACAAAAAAUUUUGGUCAGGGCAAAAACUCCAGCGAAGCUGACUUCCCCUUGUAAUUGUACCAUUUCUCUGCUAAAUUUGGGAACUGAAAGCAAAAGAAACAGAUUUUUUUAGUUUUAAUUCAAAAUGGUCGAAAUCUAAGUAAUUUGACUUUCUAUUCACUAUAGAAGAAAGUUCUACCAAGGUCCAGAGUUCACCCCAGCCCUAACUUUUGUGACAGCUGCAAGUUUGUGUUUCUAGGAUUCCACCUCAAGUAAAUACUUGCUCUUUGUAUGAUUUUUUAUUUUGUAGAGAUGAAGGAGUCAAAAUGACUCCUUUGCUUCUGCUGUAUGUGUCUUGGAAAUGGAUUUUUCUAUGAAGUCUGUGGAAGCUUGUUACCAUGUUAAAUGCCCAGCUUUCAUUAAAUCUACACCUGAAGGAAACAUGGAAGAGGUCUUUUCCAACUGCAGUAUGAAAUCUCUAGCAGCUCAGGUGUAUGUGUUUACUAUGAAUUGAACUCAAAGCUCUUAAGUAAUGCUGUGUGUUUAGCCUGUUUACUCCCCAAAGUAGCUGGAGAAUUAUCUGUGCAUUUUCCACAUUGUUUUCAGUGUGCUGCUUUGUUUGAUGGUGGCUUAUUAAUGAUACUUGUGAUUUAUUACUGUCACUUUAUUAGAUUAUUUGCAAAUCGGUGACAAAGCACUAUGUGGAUCAUGCCUUGUUAGUCAUAAAAGCACUCAAGAAGCCAUGAAAAUCAGUUAAGCUUGAACCUAUUGAAUGAAGGAGCAUAGUGCUCUCUAUUGAUCAGGAGCCUUUAGAUAUGUAAUGAAUAGUAGUACCUUUGUAGCACUGUCAGAUAGUGUUUUCCUUUGGAUCUGAUAAAUUACACUCUUUUGUACUAGUGGCUUGAGAUUUGGCAUAAAACAUUCUUGUAUUAGUAUUUCUUUCAGCUCCAGUACUGGGGUGAUCUUACAUGACCGAGGCAGAUAAAUGUUAGAAGAAAAAUUGAUAUUUGCUCUCCCAACAUAGUGUUGACCAUUGAAUUAACGCUGAUCUGACUUUCAUAUGUGGCAGGAGACUGAGGGCUUGAUUGCAAAUGAUUAGCAGAACAUUUUUAUAGCCUGUGUACAUGAUGCAUACAGUCUCUCUCAUAUGACUAUACAGAUGCAUGUUUGGAUUGUAGCUAAUUUCUUUAUAAAUACAGAUUUAUUUAUGAACUUCUUAUUGAAUGGGC
ensembl:lncRNA